rnacentral:rRNA from 1 species
UACGUAGGGGGCUAGCGUUGUCCGGAAUCAUUGGGCGUAAAGCGCGUGUAGGCGGUCCGGUAAGUCCGCUGUGAAAGUCGAGGGCUCAACCCUCGAAUGCCGGUGGAUACUGUCGGGCUUGAGUACGGGAGAGGCGAGUGGAAUUCCUGGUGUAGCGGUGAAAUGCGCAGAUAUCAGGAGGAACACCGAUUGCGAAGGCAGCUCGCUGGAACGUUACUGACGCUGAGACACGAAAGCGUGGGGAGCAAACAGG